AAACAAUUUAAUUUAUGAAGUAUUUUGGUCAACUAAAAAUCUUACUAAAUUUCAUAAGCUAAUUUUUUGAAUGUAAAAAAAAUAUUUAUUCUUAAUCGAGGGAAUACCUAGAGAUAAUGUUUAAACGAAAAAUUUUCAUGAAAAUCAGUUUAUUCAGUUGUAUCAAAAUAUCAACUUUAAAAAUAUGUCAGAUACAUGUUAUUGCUCUCACCAAACCCAUUUCUUUCAACGAUACCUCAAAAAUUCAAAAAUCGUAUCUAGUCGAAGAUAUUACCAUCAAAAAUGGAAAAAAAUUUUCCUUGUUCCCUGUAAAUGCAGAAAUUUACAAAAAUUUAUAAAUUUAAAAAUCGAUACGUGAUAUAUUUUUAUAAAUCUGACCCUUUACUUAUCCACAAGAGGAGAUUCAAAAUGACAAUUUUUCCUAUUUUCAUAAAAAAUUAACUUUUUAAAGUGUUCCGGAAAUACUGACACUUUUCUGUAUAUCUUAAUUAAAACUAAUGUAAUGUACUUUAUUAUGAAAAAAAAAUGACGGACUUUAUUUUGUCUUAUGGUGAAAAUUUCUACCGUAUGCUAUUUUUAUGUUAAUUUUUUCGAUUUUGUAUUUUAUUUUAUUUUAUAAUACCUUACAAAAGUUAUUGAGUUAGAAAACAAUUUUUAAAUAAUUUGAUUUUUAUGUCAUUUAAAUUCAAUAACAAUAAUAAUUAUCAAGAAUCUCAUCACUGCAGUCCCCCUUGUUUGAAGAAAUUUCUUAUUCAUAUUAAAGUCAUUUUAAUAUGUAUUUUUUUUUUUAUUGCUCUCAUUUAUUUUCUCAUCUGGUACUUGACCAAAUUUUUUAAACGAUACAUUAAAUGAUCACAACUAAUACAUUCAAUUGAGUAGAUUCUUUUAACAACAUUUUGAUUGUUUUUUUUUUGGUUAAAAUUAAUUAUACUAUGAAUAUUUGAAUUGUAGAAUAUUUUUUUCACCAAAAAUUACUUAAAAAUGAUUACUCUGUUUUAUAUUUAAGUGAUCUAUUACAAUAAAAAAAAUAUUGAGCUUUUCUGACAAAUUUAUAGUAAAUUAUACAG